rnacentral:rRNA from 1 species
GAUUCAAUAACAAAAUCAUUCGCCAGAGAACUACUAGCAAUAGCUUAAAACUCAAAGGACUUGGCGGUGCUUUAUAUCCCUCUAGAGGAGCCUGUUCUAUAAUCGAUAAACCCCGAUAAACCUCACCGUUCCUAGCUAAUCCAGUCUAUAUACCGCCAUCUUCAGCAAACCCUUAAAAGGACAAGCAGUAAGCAUGAUCAUAGGACAUAAAAAAGUUAGGUCAAGGUGUAACCAAUGGAACGGAAAGAAAUGGGCUACAUUUUCUUAAAAAGAAUACCCAACGGAAGUUCCUAUGAAAACAAGAACCGAAGGAGGAUCUAGUAGUAAAUUAAGAAUAGAGAGCUUAAUUGAACGGGCCAUGAAGCACGCACACACCGCCCGUCACCCUCCUCAAGUAAAUAUAUCAUAUUAUAACAUAUCAAACAAUAUCGAGUACAAGAGGAGAUAAGUCGUCAACAAGGUAAGCCUACUGGAAAGUGUGCUUGGAAAC